rnacentral:rRNA from 1 species
CCAAUAGCGUAUAUUAAAGUUGUUGCAGUUAAAAAGCUCGUAGUUGAAUUUCGGGGUCAGUGAGUUGGUCGUGCCACUGGUAUGCACUGGCUUUACUGAUUCCUCCUUCUUGAAGAACUGUAAUGCUAUUAAUUUAGUGUUGCAGGGAAACAGGACUGUUACUUUGAAAAAAUUAGAGUGUUUAAAGCAGGCUAACGCUUGAAUACAUUAGCAUGGAAUAAUGAAAUAGGACGUUUGAUCCUAUUUUGUUGGUUUCUAGGAUUGACGUAAUGAUUAAUAGGGAUAGUUGGGGGCAUUAGUAUUCAAUUGUCAGAGGUGAAAUUCUUGGAUUUAUUGAAGACUAACUACUGCGAAAGCAUUUGCCAAGGAUGUUUUCAUUAAUCAAGAACGAAAGUUAGGGGAUCGAAGACGAUCAGAUACCGUCGUAGUCUUAACCAUAAACUAUGCCGACUAGGGAUCGGAUGAUGUUAAUUUUUUAAUGACUCAUUCGGCGCCUUACG